rnacentral:rRNA from 1 species
UGGGGAAUAUUGGACAAUGGGGGCAACCCUGAUCCAGCAAUGCCGCGUGUGUGAAGAAGGUCUUCGGAUUGUAAAGCACUUUCGACGGGGACGAUGAUGACGGUACCCGUAGAAGAAGCCCCGGCUAACUUCGUGCCAGCAGCCGCGGUAAUACGAAGGGGGCUAGCGUUGCUCGGAAUGACUGGGCGUAAAGGGCGUGUAGGCGGUUUACACAGUCAGAUGUGAAAUCCCCGGGCUUAACCUGGGAGCUGCAUUUGAUACGUGUAGACUAGAGUGUGAGAGAGGGUUGUGGAAUUCCCAGUGUAGAGGUGAAAUUCGUAGAUAUUGGGAAGAACACCGGUGGCGAAGGCGGCAACCUGGCUCAUGACUGACGCUGAGGCGCGAAAAGCGUGGGGAGCAAACAGGAUUAGAUACCCUGGUAGUCCACGCUGUAAAACGAUGUGUGCUAGAUGUUGGGUAACUUUGUUAUUCAGUGUCGCAGUUAACGCGUUAAAGCACACCGCCUGGGGAGUACGGCCGCAAGGUUGAAAAC